ACUUUUAUUGGACAGCAGCCGUCCGAUGGUCUUAG
rnacentral:tRNA from 1 species